rnacentral:rRNA from 1 species
UACGGGGGGGGGCAAGCGUUGUUCGGAAUUACUGGGCGUAAAGGGCUCGUAGGUGGCCAACUAAGUCGGACGUGAAAUCCCUCGGCUUAACCGGGGAACUGCGUCCGAUACUGGUUGGCUUGAGUUUGGGAGAGGGGAUGCGGAAUUCCAGGUGUAGCGGUGAAAUGCGCAGAUAUCAGGAGGAACACCAAUUGCGAAGGCAGCUCGCUGGGACGUUACUGACGCUGAGACGCGAAAGCGUGGGGGAGCAAACAGG